CCUACGGGGGGCUGCAGUGGGGAAUAUUGGACAAUGGGGGGAACCCUGAUCCAGCCAUGCCGCGUGUGUGAAGAAGGCCCUCGGGUUGUAAAGCACUUUCAGUGAGGAAGAACGCCUGGUGGUUAAUACCCAUUGGGAAAGACAUCACUCACAGAAGAAGCACCGGCUAACUCCGUGCCAGCAGCCGCGGUAAUACGGAGGGUGCGAGCGUUAAUCGGAAUUACUGGGCGUAAAGCGCGCGUAGGUGGCUUGAUAAGCCGGUUGUGAAAGCCCCGGGCUCAACCUGGGAACGGCAUCCGGAACUGUCAAGCUAGAGUGCAGGAGAGGAAGGUAGAAUUCCCGGUGUAGCGGUGAAAUGCGUAGAGAUCUGGAGGAAUACCAGUGGCGAAGGCGGCCUUCUGGACUGACACUGACACUGAGGUGCGAAAGCGUGGGUAGCAAACAGGAUUAGAUACCCCUGUAGUC
rnacentral:rRNA from 1 species